AUCUUGUUGGAUAUCUUGGAUGUUUUUCUGUUCCUGAGGCCUGUGGAAGGUAUGCAACAUAAUUCAGCUGUCUGUGUGUGAGAAGGGUAUACAAGAUAUUGGAAAAAUAUAUUUUUUGCCCUUUUUCUGUUACAACUUAAAAUGUGAAAUGAUCAUUCAAGUUGAUAUAGUUCUGAGAAUGGGAGAGUUCCUCCAGCCCUCUGCAUAUCCUGAUGGUUCUCCUCUUCCUCAAGGUCCAUGUCCUUUUUAUGAUGUGGGUCACAAGGUUGAAAGCCUUAUGCCAGGCAGUGAGGCACAUACAUCAGUGGAAUGGGCAUGAAAAUCUCAAAGCAGCUUGGCAUCCCUGGGCUUCUUGCUGCACAAGAAGUAAAGAAGAACUUGACUCUGCUCAGCAACAACUAAAAUGCACGUGUGCUAUUAACAUCCUUCUCAAAUUUGAAACAUAGUACCAUAUGUGCCUCUAUGAAGAAAAUUAACGCUAUCCCAGCUUAAAAAAAAAAAAAAAAGUUAUACUUCAGAAGGUCUCCUCACUGCCUCUGUUAGGAAUCAAGUUACAGUAAUGUCACUAUGUUGCUGCUGCUGACUAAGUAAUUAAUCAGCUCACUGACGUUUGUUUUCUCACCCAUAUAUGAAGUCUCAUUUCCAGUAUACUUUAAAAAUAAUCAGUAGCAGGUGACACUUUUGUGGGACCAAAAGUAAACAAACAUGUAAACAAUAUCACAGUAUCACGGACCUACAAAAAUGUAAAACAUUCAUGAGAAUAGAUAAAAAUGUGGCUUUGGCUGUAGGAAUCCAAUCCUCCCUAUUUUUAGAGAUUCUAUACAUGGAGGAUUUAAUUCUUAAUUUCUAAACCAACUUUAUUGGAAGAUAUUUAAUGUUACAUAGGAUUUUAACUUAGAAAAAUGUUAUAGCAAUGUACUGAAAUAACUAUUUAAGAAUAGUUAAUACUAUUCUUAUUUAUACUGAAUAAACACUUAUUUAUACUAAAUAAGCACUAUAUUUAUACUAAAUAAACACUUAAAU
ensembl:lncRNA